AGCUGAGGUCUCACCAAGAGCUAUAUAUACGGUCACUUAGUCUGGUUUAAAUGUAAGCAGACUUUCCAGCUCCUUGUCAAUGUUGUGUAGCAAGCAGGGACAAGGAGUGAAGAGGAUAUUCUUAAACCAGCAAAAACAGCUUUAACCAAGUUAGCUGGUUAGCUAAAGUUAGCUAACUUCACUAUUUCUCCCAGUUGCAGUAAGCUUAGCUAACAAGUGGCUGGCUGUAGCUUUAUAUUCAGCAUCAUAUCUUAUUAUUUGUGAAAGAAAGAAGGAAAAUGUUUGGACACAGUUUGGCUGACUCCACCUUUUCUCUUUGCGGUAAAGUAUCAUAAUUUGAUAAAAGAUGGCCUCGCUCUUCUUGCCAAAUCCAACUGUGCUAUCUCCAUUACACCCCUCUCAUCUCGUUUAAUGUUCCUUUGUUGUCUUUCAUGUUCAACCCCUCCAACCCUCUUCUCAGUAACUCCCUCCUGUCCUCUCCCUUUCUCUUUCGGAUGCAUCCCUUAGAUCCUUCACUUCUAAAGAUGUUUGUUUCCCUCUUUUGCCUUUCAAAGAUGUGGCCUACGUCAGACAGGGGCCUGGAAUAUGCCCUGCGUCUGUGAAUCACUGAGCAGUGAGUCUGAUCAAACCGACAGAAAUCUGGCGAGGCCGCAUCAGGCGACAUUGCCGGGUGCAUCAGCUUAGCCACGGUCAAAGAGAGUUCACACGCCUAUCAGACGUGGCUCCUUCUCCAAAGAGAAACUGUCAAAAUUAGAUUCAUUGGAUGUGUUUGUUCUUUGAGGCUUCUUUUAGGGACUCUUGGCAAAGAAGACAAUAAAUGUUAUGAAAUAAUUAUCAGCAUUUAUACGCUUCAGUGUGUUAAAGCAUGAUAGAAACACAGCUAAAUAGAUGAUGAUAAUGUUUCUCCAUCUAAUAGAUCAUUUUUUAAACUGUUUUUAAUGAGACUUUGUAGAGGCAGUCUUGGUCCUUAGGGGAUAAAUCCAGCCGGGUUCAAUGAUCUUGUGUAUUUCUCUCGAGCACUAAUGAAGUUUAAAUAAGUUAUUGCUAGUUUUUGACAAUGUGUUAUUAAUUUGUUUUAUUUAUUAGUACUUUUGUGGAUGCAGCAGAGAAUAUGCAGCACUUGACUCCAAGACAAAUUUCCCAAUGGGGACAGUAAAGUGUGUCUGAAUGCACUGUAUCAUAAAGUAUCAUAUCAUCUCGUCUCAUAUCGAAUCAUC